rnacentral:lncRNA from 1 species
AAAUGUUGAAAUUAAAAACAUGAGCUAACUAUUUUAAAUAUUAUUCUUUUGAUCCAAAUAUAUUCGUUGAAUUUUGAAAAUUUUCGAUGAGAAUGGAAACGCAGAUGGAGGAGGGUUCCCAUUAGAGAAGCAGGAUAAGCGGCCCCGAAAACGACUUCGUUCAACAUGGGACAUGUCUCCUGUCCCUCCUCCUGAUCAUUCCAAGCCCCAAGGUCUUAUUUUAUAUAGGAAUUUUCACAGUUCUCUUGCAUUUACAUAAAAGUGCAAUUUCUAUUAAGUUAGGGCUUUUAAUUGGAUGUUUGAUAUAUUGCACUAUUAACUUGUUAGUGAAAUUUGUUUACUUGCUAGUUGCUACGUUGGACUUAUUCUGGAUAACAUGUCCCCCUCAUCUGAAUUUCUUUACUUGUUUUCAGUUCAAGGUACUUGGUUCUCAGAUACUUUGUGUCUCUUCUGCUGUUUUCAUUAGGUUUUUUUUUUUUAACGAUGAAGAAGUUGUAUACUGGCUUGAUUUUGUUUUCCCAUGGGCCAUAUAAAUAUAUUUGGGGGAGGAAUAACAUGUUGAACUAUUUGAUAUCUAUGUUUUGUUUGAUUUGUGUACAUUUAUGAGAAAUUUUGAACAUUUUUUGUACCAAUUAAUGCAAGAACACUCAUCAUGUAGCAUAAUUGACUGAAGUGUUGAGAUAUUGAAGGGAUGGAAGUGAAGCUAAUAAGAUAAAAAUGUUUGUUGUAGUUUCACACUGUGAUCGUAGUGAUUUCCCUCAUAUGGAAUAACUCUAUGGUUAUUGUGCAGUCGCGUGAAGACUGAAUAUUGUUUCUUCUGCAGAUCCUUCCAACAAUAUAUCAGGGGAAAGAAAUUAACUCCUCGUUGUAUGUGAACUUGAAAUACUUAAGGGUGUUCUUAGGGAGUGCCUCAAGUGGUAUUCCGAUUGUUUCAUAUGUAGGAAUUCCUUUAGAGCAACCUCAUUGAAUUCCUUUUUUUCCCGCUUUCAUCAUUUUUGGGGGUGAAAAUGCUUACUUUUUGAUGCUAACUCUUAAGUUAAUUUGUAAUGCUUAUGUACAAGAGGGAACGACCUGAAACAAGCAAGACCGGUACCUGUCAAUAUUGAAGAACAAAGUCUGCCAUCCAAAAUUUUCAGUUUGGAAAUCGGUUUUUCAUUACCUGUCAGUAAUGAGAACAUCUCCUUUUACUUUAAGAAACAUCCUAUAUAAAAAUCAAUAGAGAGCAGGUUAAGGCACACGUCCUUGUUUUCGUUCAACAAUUGUACAGAUAACUGGGUUCAGGAUAUAUGUUAGAAUUCACGUAAGGUUGUUUUUAUGCUGUCCUAUCUGUGCACAAUACACAUUUUUAUGUCUCUGUGGAUUUAAUGCUCAUUUGUUUGAUUAUCUUAUGCAUAUAGUGCUUUUAUAUGACUAAAGGUAUUAUUUGUUUUUACCUCCUUGGGCUCUAUUUAGUUCCUUUUUUUCCUUAAUUGACAGAUAGAAUACUCAGCAAAAUGUUGCAGGGGCUUUUGGGAAAGUCCUUGAAUGUUUGGCCAAUGAAAAGAAAGAGAUUAUUGCAAUUAUAUGAAAGUACGGGAAGUUGCCAUGAUUGAGAUUAGUGUUUUAGAGAAGCUUACAAGGCAUGACGCUUGUGGGACACGGUAGGUCUCUGCUUUCAGUUUGGCUUAAUUUGUAAGCUAGAAGAAAAACUUGAAGUUGUUUUGGUAUAAGUGGUUUCAUUCUUUGCAGUUGUGUGCAAAUACCGAACUGGUUUGACUAUCGUAAUCAUAUUUGUAUCAUAAGUAUUUAAUAUAAUUCAUGGUUUCCUUAAAUUUUUAAGGGCUUUGGUGUUACCUCUUGCUCAAUUAUUGUGCAAGCUAAAAAGUUGCGGACUGAUUUAAAUGGUCUUUACAGGUUUUUGAGAAGCUUGGUCCAAGCUUAUACGAUUUUUUACACAAAAACAGCUAUCUUUCAU